GUCAAUUUAUGACAAUCGUUGUCAAUUUAUGACGUGUAAAAAUUACUCUUCACCGAAAAUCUACAGUAAAAUGUCCCAGAAAAAUGAAGCAAAACAAAUUAAGGCCUUUCUUGACACGUUAGACAAUUUAGACAUUGAAGUGCACCAAAUUUUGGCUUCCAUCAAGACGGACGACAAAAGUAAGAAUGAGAGGUGUUACGAUUCCCAAGCAAGCCAAGUAGCGUUUGAACGGAAGCUCGAUAACGAAAAAGUUUCCCAAGAUGGAAAUAAAAGUAAAUAAAUGUUCAAAGAUUGUAGUUGUAAAACAUUGUUUUUAUUAUUAAAAAGUUCAUCUCGUAAACAAUA